UUGGAGACUCCGUGCGAUGGCAAUGUUGAGCAGUGUUGGGUUUAUCGUGAUCAUGUGACAGACAGCUUUGGGAGAGAACUGCUCUGAACACAGAAACAUCAGGCGCAACUAAAGGAGUUAACACUGCGCGAGGGACAGAGCCUACAAGUGAACACUGCCCUGCUUUAAAACCGUUAUUCAAGUGCUCUGAACGACGUCGACGGUCUGUGGAAAGUUCUGUGGAGAAACGUUUGGUGCCGAUAAAACGUUUUCUGUAGAAGAGGACAGACGCACAAAUCUCAGCGGGCAUGCGGCAGUUUUUGGAGUUAUUUGACGGCAAACACUCUACAAACAAAUAAGCACUUUCACGUAGAUUCCUUUCGUUAACUGAGUCAUUAAGUUAGUUGUUGUUUUUGUAAAAACCGAUGAUUGGGGGUGAUGCAAAGUUUCAACAUUGCGUUUGAAAAGUAGCUACAUCGGGGCAGGACUUUGGAAUAAAACAGGGAAAACAUAUCAAACCCCUCCGUUUGCCUUUUCCCCCUUUUUUUAGGGGGUUGUCGUGUUUUUCCGAAUUUUAACGCCUUUUUGAAGGGUAUUAAACAUGGUUGGGGAAAUGGAAACGAAGGAGAAGCCUAAGCCGACUCCUGAUUAUCUGAUGCAGCUCAUGAACGACAAGAAAAUGAUGAGCAGCCUGCCAAACUUCUGUGGUAUCUUCAACCAUCUCGAGCGCCUGUUAGAUGAAGAAAUUGGACGGGUACGGAAGGACAUGUACAAUGACACUCUGAACGGCAGCACAGAUAAAAGGACUUCCGAGCUCCCGGAUGCUGUGGGGCCCAUUGCACAACUCCAAGAGAAACUAUACGUGCCUGUCAAAGAAUAUCCAGAUUUCAAUUUUGUGGGAAGAAUCCUGGGUCCACGGGGUUUGACAGCCAAACAACUGGAGGCAGAGACGGGCUGCAAGAUCAUGGUGCGAGGCAAAGGCUCCAUGAGAGACAAGAAGAAGGAAGAGCAAAACAGAGGAAAGCCCAACUGGGAACACCUGAACGAAGACCUGCAUGUCCUCAUCACUGUGGAAGACUCUCAGAACCGUGCUGAGAUCAAACUUAAGAGAGCCGUUGAGGAGGUCAAGAAACUCCUAGUCCCUGCGGCCGAAGGUGAAGACAGCUUGAAAAAGAUGCAGCUGAUGGAGCUGGCCAUUCUCAACGGCACUUACAGAGACGCCAAUAUCAAGUCACCAGCCUUAGCCUUCUCCCUGGCCGCCACAGCACAAGCUCCCCGCAUCAUCACCGGCCACUCCCCGGUGAUGCCCACUGCGGCACUGCGAACACCUGCACCCGCCGCACCCACCCUCAUGCCCCUCAUCCGGCAGAUCCAGACCUCUGCCAUCAUGCCCACAGGCACGCCCCAUCCUGCCCUCGUACCCCAGACCCCUGAGUCAGGCAUCAUCUAUGCACCCUACGAUUACCCCUACACCCUCGCCCCAACCUCCAUUCUUGAAUAUCCUAUUGACUCAAGUGGUGUUUUAGGUAUGGCUUUCCCGACAAAAGGCUAGUAAUGCUCAGGGGUUUAACACAGUCCUCAGCCCAUACGUGUGUUAAAAAUGCUUUGCUUUUCAGCUGCCUUGGAACAAAAAACAGACAAAAGAACAAAUGAAGAAACUGAUUUUUAUAAGAAACAAAAGACUAAAGAUCAUUACUACUCAUGUUUACACUGGUCUUAACUGUUUUGUUGACUUAUUCAUAGAUUAAAAAUUUAUAUUUUCAGAUAAAUACUGAUAAGUAAGCCUGAUUACAUUCCUCUGUUUGAAAAGUAAUCUAUAUUUGUUUAGUAAUCUAUAUUUGUUUUUCAUACAACUGUAUCUUUAGAUAUUUAGAGAGCGAUCAGUAUUAUUGCUAAUAUAAAAUGCUUGUGAAAAACUUUCUCCAUGAAAUAGCCUGCAGUGAAUUCAUACUAUCUGAGGCAUCUAGUGUGCUGAAAGGAAUACAAGGGCUCUAUAGUCAUUGUAAAAAAUUGUCAAGAGCAUAAAAAAAAAUACCAUUUGUGUUUUUAUUAAAAUGCAACAAAUUUACUGGGAAAUUGAGAAAGGGCAAUAACAUAUGAUGUGAUUUCACUAUAACAGGGCCCUGGAGAAAAGGUCACUUGUGCCUUGUAAUUUGGUUUUACAAGCCUCGUUUGUGAAACAAUGUUGUGUAAAGUGUAGUUUUAAUGUAUUUUGAUGAAUAAUCUGGUAAUUCUUGUUUUGUUGGCAAUGUUGCGCUCUGAGCAGGUGCAGUGACUACUAAAGUACGAAGGCAGGAUAUGCGCGUCCAUCCUUACCAAAGGGUAGUGACCGCAGAACGAGCCGUCACUGGCAACUAACCAAUGACCCUCUGAACCCUUCACCCAAUGAUGACCUGACCAUUGCCUGCCUGCUGACCAGUUCUCUGGCUCUCGUCCUUCGCUUCUAUGUUUUGGCGGCCUGCUGGUGAGCCCCAGAAGCAGCUUUAAUUCACUUAACACAGCCGAGAAGCCGUGAUGGCCCCACGCCACGACCCGCAGAACAGAAUCGUUCCCCUUCUCAAACUGAGGACCUCCUUGGUCAGGUGACCUGGGCUUCCCAGCCUGCACUGAAAUGUCAUAAAGCAAUAACGCUGUGUGGGAGACACCUGAAAUCCUACGGUUAGCCUUUCACAUACACACACUGAAUAAACAAAUCUUUAUUGGUUUCAUAACAAUUAAGCAUAAUAUUCUAUAUAACACUCUAAGUUUGUGCACUGCAGUUCUCAUGCCAUCCUGAAGAGUUAUUUUAAAACCGAUUUAUCGGUCCAAAUGUCCAUAAGGGAUGUAAAAGCCAUGCUUGCCUACCAGCGUUUUCUUCAGAGAGCUGUCGAAAAGUGAGCAAGUGUGCAAACACUGAACAUCGACUGAUAUCUUUUUGAUACGAGGGUGCUGCACAGGAAACGAAUAUAUAUUUUUCAAAGGUCAUCUUUUUUGUAAUAAAAAAACAAAGCAGUAUUGUCAAAAUGUGAUGAACACAAGACAACAUUUUUGAGACCAAAACAGUGUCUUUUUUUAAUAAUAAAAAAACAAACCAGUGCCUUAUUUUACACAAUAUCAUCAAUUAUGAAUAAGUAUGAAUGUCCAUCAAUGUGUUAUAUGCCAACAUAUCAGGUAUUUUUAUUCAAUUCCUCUUUAUUCAUGAAAACAAGAGGUGUACAGAACAACGUUCCAGGCGUUACUCAAAAACUACAUUUUUUAUGUGCAGUUUCUCAUUUUUAUUUACAAGUAAUGAUUGAGUUUUACCCUGUCACACUACAUUAGAUGGUAAUUGAGCCUGUUUGUAGUUGAUGAUAUAUAUGUACAAGCUCUCUAAUAUGUUUGUAGAUCCAUUACUAUAUCUGAUACACAGCAAUGAAGCAACCAACAGUUACUGGUCACUAUUUCCAUAUUUUUAGUCUGCUUAUAUCUCAAGAAGCAUUUAUUCCAUUCAUCAGGAUGAAUAUUAUAAAGGUUUGGGGUUAAUUAGUACAGAGCUCAUUUUAUUCCUUUUGAAGAAUUGAAGUGUACUAGAAGAGCAAGUUUGUAUGCAGACGCAUCACGUCUCUCCAUACCUUCCUAUGCAAAUGAUUUUCAGUUUUAUUAAAUUUCCUUCAGUUGGUCUUCCAGUUAAAAUGUCAGACCAUUUCAGUGCUGAAGAACAAGACUAAAAGCAUAUUAACAAAUUAUAAUUACAUUUUGUUAUUUGGUUAUCAGAAUCGGAUUUUGAGAAGAUGCAUCUCCUUUUGUAUUUAUGCGGAGCAAAUGCAAUACUUUUUAGACGUUUGAGGCUGUGAUGCAGUUGCAUGUCAUUUUUUUUUUUUUUUUUUAUUAACCUGGAAAUUGCUAAAGUAAAAAUCCUGCAAAUACAUUUAAUGGAUGGAAAUUGUUUUUACAAGGAUCUCUCAUCCUGUCAGAUUGACUAGAAACUGGAGUUGUUUGUUAAUGUGUGUUUUUUUUUUUUUUUUUUGGUUUAGUAUUUGCUUUCCAUGCAGUAUUAAUAUAGACAGUGUCAUUAUGUGUUGUGUUUAUGGGUGAUUGUGUGAGUGACUGUUUGUGUAUUGUAUAUGCCAAUGAACUGCAACUCUCCGUUAAAGCUUAUUUUUGUUGUCUUUUUUUUCUCCGCAAUCCCAAGCAGCUCUCUGCACACAGUCCUAUUUAUAACCAUUGUAACAUUUUAUAAUGUAUUUUUCUAUCAUGUUUUGUAUGUGAGAAAUAACAUUAAAUCACAUUUCCAGAUAUGAA